rnacentral:lncRNA from 1 species
GGUAAAGAGGAUAAGAUAAAACAAAAAAAAAGAUGAAACCAAAAAAAUAAGUAAUAUGAAUGCUAAAGCUAUCUCAUCUAGAAGGGUCAAAAAAUGAGCUUUUCUAAUGAAGUGGGUCUAUUAUCGGAGACUUGCACAUCAUCCAAGAUGACUUCCCAUGACUUGCCUCGCAACGAUAUCUGCUCUUGUUAUUUGCAUCCUGUGUGUUAGCUCCAGCAUUUUCUCUUCUCUUUUGCUUUAUCGCCGAGCUAUGAGUAGCGAAUAACUCUAUUCCUAAUCUGGUUACGGCGAUCUUGCCAUGUCCAACGACCCGGAUCCAAAAGUAACAAUAAAUAGAUGAAAAUGAUGGACAAGUGGUACCCAAGAAAUAUGCUUAUUCCAUUAAAUUAUGCUUAUACCUAGUUUUCUUGAGGAUUCGUUUCUCCAGUGGUUUGCCUUUUCACUUUUUCUUAUAGCAAGUCAACAGCAUUUCUACUGUGUUUUGACCGGUUUUAACAGAUCCGGUGGAAGGGUUUGGUGGUUUAUGAAAUCACAUCAAAGUACACAGCGACGAGCGAUCCAUCGGUUUCACAAUUUUCCUGGUUAGGGUUAAAGCGGAAAGGGAAGGGAAGGGACGAGAUGAUGGAGCAGAGUAAUAUGACGGGCGGCGAAGGACGACGUAAAUUGAGAUAUGGAUACAGAUGUAGACGUAGACGUAGACUUAGAAAGGUUGUAAAAAUAAUCCGAGCUUGAUGCAAUGCUAGGGAAAAGAGGAACGCAGCAUAGAGUUGAGACUAGUGCAGACAAGUAUAAAGUGUGAAAGGGAAUGGACGAUGGAAGUAUGGACUGGACCAUAGGCAGCUUGCAAUGUUUGUAGUUAACAUUUCGAGUAAGAACAAGAAAAUUGUCGAAUUAUCUAAUCUACUUGGAAACUGAAAUUUGAAUUUUUUAAUCAAAGCGGAUUGCAAAACUGCAACAUUGUUUAUUGAAAUUUUUCUCUACCCAAUUUCGCCUGUAAUCCAGGCCGUACACAGAGGUUGAUAAACUUUCGAACUCAUUACUAUAGCGAUAAUGAGAGUGAUUUUCGAAUCCUUGCUUACUACACAGUAAACUUCACUAUUUGGUAAACAAUGUCUUAAGAUGACUGAGCUGGAUAGAAGAACAGAAUGAGAGAAGUGAAGAGGAAUAAAAUGAUUUACAAAAAUCACUAUUUUGAAAGUAAGGAAAAUUUAAUUCCUGCAAAAACCUGAUCUGGUCAAAUUGAACAUCAUUAUAACCGUAAUUCCGUGCCAGCAAGUUUUUGGCUUUCAUUCCUUUUAGAUGCGCGAAAAUGAUCGAUGAUAUCAAUUUCAUUUUCUUCCUAAAAUAGUUGAAAAUGUCCUCAUCCUACAAGUAGAGGAAUUAAUGCAAAAGAUCAUAGUGCCUGUCGUUAUGCGCAGGUUCGCAUUGAGUAGACGCGACGUCUUAUUUCACUGUCGGAUAAGGAUGUAUUGGUUUUAAUCACAAUACGUAUUAUUACGCCGUGCACUAUAUAAUAAACAUUGAAAAAAGUUGUAUAAAUUAAAAAUAAACCAAAAAAAGGCACGAAUCGAUUCGUUUAAAAUUACUAUCCAAGGUUUCUAAUUCCAAUAGAUGUUUUUGGUGAUCAGUCUAAGAACUGCUGUUUUCAACACUGCAAAAGUUUAUAAUUAUAAAUUGUAUUUAAACCCUUUGUAGUGAUAGGAAAAUGCACUAUACCGUACAAAGUUGACAAGCAAAGCAGCAAACAUAUUUCUUAGAGACAGGGCGCGCUUUCACAAUCAAUAAUUUGUCAGGAAAUGAAAUCAUGCAAUAAAAAUACAUCUGAUAUAGUCU